CACGUAGGGCGCGAGCGUUGUCCGGAAUUACUGGGCGUAAAGCGUGCGCAGGCGGUUAUGUAAGACAGUUGUGAAAUCCCCGGGCUCAACCCGGGAACUGCGUCCGAUACUGGAAGGCUUGAAUCCGGGAGAGGGAUGUGGAAUUCCAGGUGUAGCGGUGAAAUGCGUAGAUAUCUGGAGGAACACCGGUGGCGAAGGCGACAUCCUGGACCGGAAUUGACGCUGAGGCGCGAAAGCCAGGGGAGCAAACGGG
rnacentral:rRNA from 1 species